UGUAAGCGUAUACCAAAGUUGUUGCAGUUAAAACGCUCGUAGUCGGAGUUUGGCAGUUCCGGAUGUGUGCACGUCGUGUGCGCACUUCGCGGGGAUUGCUUUUGUGGUCUUGCGUAGGAUGAGGCACUUUUAUUAGUGAACGUCCUCACGCAACCACUUUUUACUGUGAGAAAAUCAGAGUGCUCAAAGCAGGCAUUUGCCGUGAAUGUAUUAGCAUGGAAUAAUAGAAUAGGACUUGGUUCUAUUUUGUUGGUUUGUUGGGACUGAGUAAUGAUUAAGAGGGACAGUUGGGGGCAUUUGUAUUUCGGUGCUAGAGGUGAAAUUCUUAGAUUACCGAAAGACAAACUGCUGCGAAAGCGUCUGCCAAGGAUGUUUUCAUUGA
rnacentral:rRNA from 1 species